CCUACGGGUGGCAGCAGUGGGGGAUAUUGCACAAUGGGGGAAACCCUGAUGCAGCGACGCCGCGUGUGGGAAGACGGUCCUCUGGAUUGUAAACCACUGUCCCCAGGGACGAAGAUGACGGUACCUGGGGAGGAAGCUCCGGCUAACUACGUGCCAGCAGCCGCGGUAAUACGUAGGGAGCGAGCGUUGUCCGGAAUUACUGGGGGAAAAGGGAGCGUAGGCGGGACUGCAAGUUGGGUGUCAAAUCUACCGGCUCAACCGGUAGCCGCACUCAAAACUGCAGUUCUUGAGUGAAGUAGAGGCAGGCGGAAUUCCGAGUGUAGCGGUGAAAUGCGUAGAUAUUAGGAGGAACACCAGUGGCGAAGGCGGCCUGCUGGGCUUUUACUGACGCUGAGGCUCGAAAGUGUGGGGAGCAAACAGGAUUAGAUACCCCGGUAGUC
rnacentral:rRNA from 1 species